UCGUACAUUUGCUUUAAAAAACCCUUUUAGUUUGUGGCUGGAAGUGCAUGUUCCUCUUCCAUGAACAUGAAAGGGGAUGCAGUGAGCUUUCGUAAUGAAGAAUCACCCUUUACCCCUUAUUUCUUGGCUUAACGACAAAUCCCCUUUUGCCUCUUAUUUCCUGGCUCAACGAUAAAAAAAUAUAUAUUUUUUUUAUCCUAGCAUUCGUUCAUUUCUUCUCUGACGCAGAGGAUAGAAGACUAGGGAGAGGAAAAUGGCUCAAACAUAGAAUCUGGGAAGCUGAUAUGGUUUGUGAGAGAAACUGGAUCUCCUGACAGCCGGCUUGGAACAGUUAUCUUCUCCAACACAGUCUUAUAGUUAUCGAGUUGACUCAUGUCUCAGUUGCUUACCUGGUUUUAAGGCUUGAAGAAGUAGAGAAGAAGAAACAACGGUAAUACAGUAGGUAACCAUCAAUAGCGAUUGUACAUAAAUGUUUUUGAUAAAAUAAUAAUAAUAUAAAAUAAAUCUAUCUUAGUUA